rnacentral:rRNA from 1 species
UACGGGGGGGGCAAGCGUUGUUCGGAAUUACUGGGCGUAAAGGGCUCGUAGGCGGCCAACUAAGUCAGACGUGAAAUCCCUCGGCUUAACCGGGGAACUGCGUCUGAUACUGGAUGGCUCGAGUUUGGGAGAGGGAUGCGGAAUUCCAGGUGUAGCGGUGAAAUGCGUAGAUAAUCUGGAGGAACACCGGUGGCGAAGGCGGCAGUCCUGGACCGGUAUUGACGCUGACGGCGCGGAAAGCCAGGGGAGCAAAGCGGG